rnacentral:rRNA from 1 species
GAUGAAGCCCGCUUUUAGUGGGUGGAUUAGUGGCGAACGGGUGAGUAACACGUAGGUGACCUGCCCCAGAGAGGAGAAUAACCAUGCGAAAGCGUGGCUAAUACUCCGUACGGUCGGCCAUUCAGUUGGUCGAUUAAAGCUUCGGCGCUCUGGGAGGGGCCUGCGGCCCAUCAGCUAGUUGGUAGGGUAAAGGCCUACCAAGGCGAUGACGGGUAGCUGGUCUGAGAGGAUGAUCAGCCACAAUGGGACUGAAACACGGCCCAUACUCCUACGGGAGGCAGCAGUGAGGAAUAUUGGACAAUCGACGAAAGUUGGAUCCAGCAACGCCGCGUGGAUGAUGAAGGCCUUCGGGUUGUAAAAUCCUUUUAAGAGGGAAGAGGAAGGACGGUACCUCUUGAAUAAGUCUCGGCUAACUACGUGCCAGCAGCCGCGGUAACACGUAGGAGGCAAGCGUUAUCCGGAUUUAUUGGGCGUAAAGCGCGCGCAGGCGGCCAGAUAAGUCGGGUGUGAAAGCUCCGAACUCAAUUCGGAGAGGUCAUUCGAUACUGUUUGGCUUGAGAGCGGGAGAGGGAAGUAGAAUUCUGGGUGUAGUGGUGAAAUGCGUAGAUAUCCAGAGGAAUACCAGUGGCGAAAGCGGCUUCCUGGCCCGUUUCUGACGCUGAGGUGCGAAAGCGUGGGUAGCGAACGGAAUUAGAAACUCCGGUAGUCCACGCCGUAAACGAUGGGUACUAGGUGUGGGGAGUAUUAACCCUCUCCGUGCCGAAGCAAACGCGUUAAGUACCCCGCCUGCAGACUACGGCC